rnacentral:rRNA from 1 species
UACCCUAUUAUGGAAAGUGUAAAAAAGAAGAAUUGAUUAGUAUUAGUUAUGUUCUUAAAAAUUAAAGAUUUUGGCGGUAUUUUAGUCUAUUUAGAGGAACCUGUUCUAUAAUUGAUAGUCCACGAUUUAAUUUACUUUUAUUAAUUAACUUAUAUAUUAUCGUAGUUGGAAUAUAUUAAAAGAUAAAAUAUUCAAUUUUUUUUUUAAAAAAAAAGUCAGAUCAAAAUGUAGUUUAUAAAAAAGAAGAAAUGGGUUACAUUAAAUGUAUUUAUUAAUUAUUUUUAUUAUAGAAGUAUGAAUAUGGAUUUAAAAGUAAUUUAAAUUAAUUUAUUUAAAUGAUCUUAGUUUUAAAAUAUGUACAUA